GCAUACACAAAAAAUGUUAAUUUUCAAUACCGAUCUAUGCCACAGUCUUUUCAAAGACAUUUUUUUAAAAGACAGUCAAGCUCAGUACACACGGAGUCCUACAACUGCACACAGCUCAUUCCAAGUAUGCCCAACACGGGCAGACAACUAUGCCACUGCUGCCAUCUGGCUGACAAUGACUGUGAUAAGCAUCCUGAUUUAGAAAUGUUGAAAUAACUGCAUCUGAGCAUCAAAGAAAGCAUCCCCACUUUGUAGACACAGAGACUGGCACAGCCAGAUUUACUGAUUUGCCCCAAAACUUCCCAGAUAGCAAGUGGCUUACCCAGACUUUCAACUGGAGUGGUCCGGCCUCAGAGCUGAGAAACAUUCAACUCUCUGCAUCUUCAGUGAUCUCUCCGUUUCUGCUGGUGGAGACCUCAUUCACAGCUGUCCUGUUUUCCCAGCACCACUUGUUGAAGAGACUGUCUUUCCACCAUUGUGUCGUCUUGCCUCCUUUGUCACGGACUGACUGACCACAGAUUGUAUUCCAUUAUACCUUUCUUGGUGGUUGUUUAGUUGCUAAGUUGUAUCUGACUCUUUGCGACCUCAUGGAUGUAACUCCUCUGUGGAUGCCAGGCUCCUCUCUCCAUGGGAUUUCCAAGGCAAGAAUACUGGAGUGGGUUGCCAUUUCCUCCUCUAGAGGAUCUUCCCAAUCCAUGGAUCAAAAUCCUGCUUGGCACGGAGAUUCUUUACCAUUGAGCUACCAGGGAAGCAAGACAAAUAAUUCCUGGUGCUAUAAAUUUUUUGUUGCUUAUCUAUUUUAUGUGUGGUAGUUUGCAUCACUAAUCCCAUACCCCUAAUUUGUCUCUUCCUCCCACCCACCUCUGGUAACCACCAGCUUGUUUUCUGCAUCUGUGAGUCUGUUUUUUUGCAUACAUAUUAACUGGUAUUAUUUUUGGGAUUCCACAUAUAAGUAAAGUCAUACAGUAUU
ensembl:lncRNA